UUAAUACAAGAUGGCAUCAUGAGUCCGCAUGUUCACAUGAUUAAAGGUAUUCCGGUAGACGAUGGGGAUGCGUUCCAUUAGAUAGUAGGCGGGGUAACGGCCCACCUAGUCUUCGAUGGAUAGGGGUUCUGAGAGGAAGGUCCCCCACAUUGGAACUGAGACACGGUCCAAACUCCUACGGGAGGCAGCAGUGAGGAAUAUUGGUCAAUGGGCGCAGGCCUGAACCAGCCAAGUAGCGUGAAGGAUGACUGCCCUAUGGGUUGUAAACUUCUUUUAUAAAGGAAUAAAGUCGGGUAUGUAUACCCGUUUGCAUGUACUUUAUGAAUAAGGAUCGGCUAACUCCGUGCCAGCAGCCGCGGUAAUACGGAGGAUCCGAGCGUUAUCCGGAUUUAUUGGGUUUAAAGGGAGCGUAGAUGGAUGUUUAAGUCAGUUGUGAAAGUUUGCGGCUCAACCGUAAAGUUGCAGUUGAUACUGGAUAUCUUGAGUGCAGUUGAGGCAGGCGGAAUUCGUGGUGUAGCGGUGAAAUGCUUAGAUAUCACGAAGAACUCCGAUUGCGAAGGCAGCCUGCUAAGCUGCAACUGACAUUGAGGCUCGAAAGUGUGGGUAUCAAACAGGAUUAGAUACCCUGGUAGUCCACACGGUAAAC
rnacentral:rRNA from 1 species